rfam:Peptococcaceae bacterium CEB3 CEB3_contig000060, whole genome shotgun sequence.
GAAGGUAGGUCCUUCGAAACCGGUUUAUAGGAAUUGGUUUCAAACAGCCGUAAGCUGCUUCAGACCGAAAGGCCGCGGUAGUGAACGUUACGGUCAAAAGCCGAAAAUGAUCUCGGCAUG